UACGUAGGGGGCAAGCGUUGUCCGGAUUUAUUGGGCGUAAAGAGCGUGUAGGCGGCUUGGUAGGUCCGCUGUGAAAAACUCGAGGCUCAACCUCGAGAUGUCGGCGGAAACCACUUGGCUAGAGUCCGGAAGAGGAGAGUGGAAUUCCUGGUGUAGCGGUGAAAAUGCGCAGAUAUCAGGAGGAACACCAAUGGCGAAGGCAGCACUCUGGGGAACG
rnacentral:rRNA from 1 species